AUGGGGUUGGUCUUUUGCUGACACUGAAUCAAUCCCAAAUAUACCCUGUCACCAAAUCCAAAAUAAAUAUGAGUGACAGAUGAAAUAAAGGUAUUCACUCAGUGAGACGUAUUACAGAGAGGAAGCCUGAGAUAGACAUCCUCUUCAGCACUCAGGAGAAUCCACUGAUUUGGGUGAAGAGGUUGCUAUUUGAAAAUUCCUUUCAUCUGAAUCAGCCUUCUUGCAUUUACCAACCUGAAAAUGAGAAAAACCUAUAGAAGGAAAUAUCUUGAAGUGAUUCUUCAUGAUACAGGUGGGCUGAAAAACUUUUGGGAGAAAAAAAUUGAACACCAUGCAAAGCAAGUGCAAAUUGAAAACUCUCGAAUAAGCAGAAGUGCCCUGGAUAAGCUUCGCUGUGAAUGGGCUCAGAGACUGGAAAGCAGAAUCAAGAUGAUCCAGCAGUCCCAGGAAGUAUCUAAGAAGUCAUCCCUACUCCCAAUCGAAUCUUUCCACCUUGUCAAUAAAACAGUAGCCUAAAGUCAUAAAUAAAAUGGUAAUAGGAAAAGUACUGUUUCAUGGGAAGUGAAAACCCCCUUAGGAGAUUCCUGUGCAACAGUGAAAAGAUGAAGCCUAAGCCGAAUGUUGGGCAGGAAUUUUAAAGUGUUAAUUUGAGAUGCGUGUGUCGUGCAGGAAUAUGUUCGAUAUGAAAAUUGUUGCCAUGCUUCAUUGUUUCAUUCAGAUCAUAGUGGAAUCCUUUCAGAAAAUUACUUGUCAUGAUAUAGGUUUAACUGUUCUAUAGAUCAGAUUCUGUCUCCCCAAACUUAAGCACCACAAGUGAAAGAAGUCCAGUAUUGGAGUCUGGGAGACCUGGGUUCAAGUCUUUCAUCUGAUACAACUGGUCACGUGACCUUUUAAUUUCUCCAGACCCCCAGACAAUUCUCUAAGAUUAGAAAUCACAUGUGAGUUUCUGACUCGCAUUGGUGGAGGGACUUUCCAAAGUAGAAGUUCUCCAUAACCAUGAGCAGAAUAAUCUCCUCCCCCUGACCCCACCUCCUCCCACCACCACUACAUACACACACAAAUCUCACAGGUCUUUUCCUUGACAUCAGAGUUAUCAAUGACUACACUCUACUUCUUAUCCUAUUGUUCUCUGGCUUCUCUUUCUUGUUAAUUUAAGUAAAAUUUGUCUAGCACUAAUGCUCAAAAUUAACAAAAAAAAAUAGCACAGGAAAUGUCAAUAAAACCACAUACUUACCUAUUCUUCAAUUCUUUUUUCAAACUGUGCUUACAAAUAUUUCUUUUUGAUCUACGUAGCAACCCUGUGAGAUUGAUGAAGUAAGUAUCGUCAUUCUCAUUUAUUGUAGUUAAGUAGAUAGAAGCACAGAGUAGAGAGAUUAAGAACCAUAGCACAUAGUAAAGACCUACCUAUGAAAUGGGAAUCAGAGUACCUAGGUUUGGUUUCUGGCUGGGGCCCUUCCUAGUUUUAUGAUGGUGGACAGGUCAUUUAGCCUUACUAAGCCUCAGUUUCCUCUUAGUCUAUGUCUAGGAAUUAGCAGUUAAAUAUUACAGAUAAUCUGAAGUUACCAUAUAAAGUUUAAGUGACUUGCCCAGAGUCACACAUCUAGUCGGUAUCAGAGUCAGGAUUUGAACACAGGCUUCAAGCUCAGAUGUCUAGCCACUAAACUGUGUUAGAUCUUCCUAACUUAUAAAAUAGUGAAAAUAAUGCUUGGAUUUCCUACCUCAUAGGGUUGUUGUGAGGAAAGUGCUUUUAUAGACUUUAAAGUGAUUUAUAGCAACAGCUUUCUUAUCUUUUUUCCAUGGGGUUUAGCGAGAAAUUAACCAGGUACAAGUCACUAUUCUGCUUAUUAUUCUUUUAGGUUUAAUAUUCUAACAACUAAUUCAUAGGUAGAUAAAUAAUUGACUUUUAUAGUUUGAUAAAAAGUAUUAGAAAAGAAAUCCAUCCUCUGUGGGUUUACUGAAAGCAUCCUCUCAUAGCAGAACAACAGGCAUUCAGUAAAGCCUGAUCCUUUCUACUUUUCCUGAUAAGUCUCUAUAUUUUGAAAGUUUUUAGUUUCAUUUUGCUCAA